UUCAGGUUCGAGGACUUCAGUGCCAUCUGCCAAGAACACUCGUCGGGCGGCCAUGUUCAGAUUCAGCUUUCCCGUGCACUCCUCCAGCAACUAGAAGCAAGAGGCUAAGCAAUCAGCUUGUGAUCUAAUUUUGACCAGUGAGAAAUGAGGAAAUGUCUUCUGGGACAUGAAGGUUGACACUGGACUGGACAGCUUUAACUUUGAUACAAUACUACGGAUGAAAGUCCCACCCCAGGGAAGAUAGGAGUCUGAAUCUCCGACAACAUUGAAUACCAUAGCAACAUUGAACUACCUACCUACCAACUUUCACAUGAGAAAUAAA